GGCUUCAUAGCUCAACAGGUAAAGCGCUUACCGGUUUGAGGCAUGGUCUUUUUGUCGCUGGUUCGUAUCCAGCUGAAGCCC